rnacentral:rRNA from 1 species
UACGGAGGGAGCAAGCGUUACUCGGAAUUACUGGGCGUAAAGGGCUCGUAGGUGGCCAACUAAGUCAGACGUGAAAUCCCUCGGCUUAACCGGGGAACUGCGUCUGAUACUGGAUGGCUUGAGUUCGGGAGAGGGAUGCGGAAUUCCAGGUGUAGCGGUGAAAUGCGUAGAUAUCGGGAGGAACACCAGUGGCGAAGGCGGCGAUCUGGGAACAUACUGACGCUGAGGUGCGAAAGCGUGGGGAGCAAACAGG